GGACACGAGGGCAGCUGUCGUCCCAUCAACAGCCAGGGCUGAGUAGGCUGGUCUGACUUGCCAGGCAGGUGUCCUUCUUCCUCAGCUUCUCCAGUAUUCUCCCAAACCUGUGUCAUUGGCUGGAGGGGAUGAUCUUUCUAAGAAGAGGAGGACCAUCUUUCCCAUCAAAAGGACCAGCUUUCCAUAGCUGUGUUCCCCUGUUGUAAUUUUGCAUCAAACUCUUUCAGAUGGUGAAAGCCUGUGAGUACAAAGUCCUAGAGUCCGAGGCCUAACUGAAGAGGGACGCCCUUGAUUC
rnacentral:sRNA from 1 species